rnacentral:rRNA from 1 species
UACGUAGGGUGCGAGCGUUAAUCGGAAUUACUGGGCGUAAAGCGUGCGUAGGCGGUUCGUUAAGUUCGUUGUGAAAGCCCCGGGCUCAACCUGGGAACUGCAAUGGAAACUGGCGGGCUUGAGUGUGGCAGAAGGGGGUGGAAUUCCGCGUGUAGCAGUGAAAUGCGUAGAGAUGCGGAGGAACACCGAUGGCGAAGGCAGCCCCCCUGGGCCAACACUGACGCUCAGGCACGAAAGCGUGGGGAGCAAACAGG